UACAGAGGGUGCGAGCGUUUAAUCGGAAUUACUGGGCGUAAAGCGUGCGCAGGCGGUUUUUGUAAGUCUGUCGUGAAAAUCCCCCGGGCUCAACCUGGGGAAUUGCGAUGGAGACUGCAAGGCUAGAAUCUGGCAGAGGGGGGGUAGAAUUCCACGUGUAGCAGUGAAAUGCGUAGAGAUGUGGAGGAACACCGAUGGCGAAGGCAGCCCCCUGGGUCAAGAUUGACGCUCAUG
rnacentral:rRNA from 1 species